AAAAAAAAAAAAAAAGGGAGUUGGUAACUGCUACGGGAUGUAUGGUAAUAUGGCAAAUUGUCCUCGAUGCAACUAAUGCUUGUAGCUGAAUUGCAGAGUUCAUUCAAAUGCUGAAUCACUGAAACACUCCCUUUGAGUUAGGAGAGCAGUCGGUCUCGUUUGGAUAUUCAAGAUAUAGAAUCUGUUUGCUGAGAGCCACAAAUUUGCGUAUGUUCAACUACUUGGUUAGAGGAUGUCUAAAAAGAAAAAGAAGACGACAAAAUACUUGGUUAGAGAGACAGCCAACUGUUACAAAGAAGCCAAGAGAUGUCAAUAUCAAUUAACAACCUUAUCAAAAUUCUCUAAGAUGCAAUAGAAGGCUUGAAUCUCAACUAAAUUUUUAUCCCAAAA
rnacentral:misc_RNA from 1 species